rnacentral:rRNA from 1 species
UAGGGAAUCUUCCGCAAUGGACGCAAGUCUGACGGAGCAACGCCGCGUGAGUGAAGAAGGUUUUCGGAUCGUAAAACUCUGUUGUUAGAGAAGAACAAGUGCUAGAGUAACUGUUAGCGCCUUGACGGUAUCUAACCAGAAAGCCACGGCUAACUACGUGCCAGCAGCCGCGGUAAUACGUAGGUGGCAAGCGUUGUCCGGAUUUAUUGGGCGUAAAGCGAGCGCAGGCGGUUCCUUAAGUCUGAUGUGAAAGCCCCCGGCUCAACCGGGGAGGGUCAUUGGAAACUGGGGAACUUGAGUGCAGAAGAGGAGAGUGGAAUUCCAUGUGUAGCGGUGAAAUGCGUAGAUAUAUGGAGGAACACCAGUGGCGAGGGCGACUCUCUGGUCUGUAACUGACGCUGAGGCUCGAAAGCGUGGGUAGCAAACAGGAUUAGAUACCCUGGUAGUCCACGCCGUAAACGAUGAGUGCUAAGUGUUGGAGGGUUUCCGCCCUUCAGUGCUGCAGUUAACGCAUUAAGCACUCCGCCUGGGGAGUACGACCGCAAGGUUG